rnacentral:rRNA from 1 species
AUCGAACGCUGGCGGCAGGCUUAACACAUGCAAGUCGAACGAGUGGCGGACGGGUGAGUAAUGCUUGGGCACCCUCCCUAUGGAGGGGGUUAACUACGGGAAACUGUAGCUAAUACCGCGUACCAUAGGAUGAGCCCAGGUGGGAUUAGGUAGUUGGUGAGGUAAAGGCUCACCAAGGCGACGAUCCCUAGCUGGGCGGAGAGGAUGACCAGCCACACUGGAACUGAGACACGGCCCAUACUCCUACGGGAGGCAGCAGUGGGGAAUAUUGCGCAAUGGGGGCAACCUGGCACAGCCAUGCCGCGUUAAUGAAGAAGGCCUUCGGGUUGUAAAGUUCUUUCGGUGGCGAGGCGUUAGCUGCAGAAGAAGCACCGGCUAACUCCGUGCCAGCCGCCGCGGUAAUAC